GACGAACGCUGGCGGCGUGCCUAAUACAUGCAAGUAGAACGCACAGUUUAUACCGUAGCUUGCUACACCAUAGACUGUGAGUUGCGAACGGGUGAGUAACGCGUAGGUAACCUGCCUGGUAGCGGGGGAUAACUAUUGGAAACGAUAGCUAAUACCGCAUAAUAUUAAUUAUUGCAUGAUAAUUAAUUGAAAGGUGCAAUUGCACCACUACCAGAUGGACCUGCGUUGUAUUAGCUAGUAGGUGAGGUAACGGCUCACCUAGGCGACGAUACAUAGCCGACCUGAGAGGGUGAUCGGCCACACUGGGGCUGAGACACGGCCCAGACGCCUACGGGAGGCAGCAGUAGGGAAUCUUCGGCAAUGGACGAAAGUCUGACCGAGCAACGCCGCGUGAGUGAAGAAGGUUUUCGGAUCGUAAAGCUCUGUUGUAAGAGAAGAACGGGUGUGAGAGUGGAAAGUUCACACUGUGACGGUAGCUUACCAGAAAGGGACGGCUAACUACGUG
rnacentral:rRNA from 1 species